GACGUAGGGCGCGAGCGUUGUCCGGAUUUAUUGGGCGUAAAGAGCUCGUAGGCGGCUUGUCGCGUCGACUGUGAAAACUCGGGGCUCAACUCCGAGCUUGCAGUCGAUACGGGCAGGCUAGAGUUCGGUAGGGGAGACUGGAAUUCCUGGUGUAGCGGUGAAAUGCGCAGAUAUCAGGAGGAACACCGGUGGCGAAGGCGGGUCUCUGGGCAUUAACUGACGCUGAGGAGCGAAAGCAUGGGGAGCGAACAGG
rnacentral:rRNA from 1 species